GCGGGGGUGGCAGAGCUUGGUCAAAUGCGCAAGAUUGAGGUUCUUGUGGUCUAGUACCUGCGCGAGUUCAAAUCUCGUCCCCCGCA
rnacentral:tRNA from 1 species